ACUGCACAAUUGGCAUGUAGGGAACUGAUGAACUCAGAAAUGGAGUGUGGUCAUCAGCUUCGUCUCUUUAUCAUAUGAGAUUAGGGCCUGAAUAACAGCAGAACAUUU